rnacentral:lncRNA from 1 species
CCUGAUUAAUGGAAAAACUCGACACUCUCAAAGGCCAUGUUGUAAUAUAAUUAAGGUCAGUCAAUUUUGCUGUUCUCUGCAAAACUGAAUCCAUUUUAAGGGCCCUUGACGCUUUCUGCUUUCUGCAGCUGGUUUUGAUGUCAGAUCUAACACAAGGGCAUAGAGCUAUGGCUUUACAUAGAGGGUAUUUUAGACAUUUUUAAUGUUCAUUAAGAGCAAAUCUAACAUAAGGGCAUUGGUCAACGGGAUUUAAAUGGAAGAUUAUUUUAAUAUAUUUUCUAGAUCUAAUAAU